rnacentral:lncRNA from 1 species
CCAUUGAGUAUCAUAGAUAUGAAAUAGCAAUUCAUAGUAUUUUAGGCACGCACAUAAUUGAAAGGAACUCAAUUUAAAGAACAUACAUUAAAAGUCAAAGAGUAGAUAUAAAAUCAAAAAGUGACUGAUACCACAUAGUGGUUUCAAUACAAACACCAAAAUAUAAAAGUUAAUCAGUCAACAUCAUUACAUGGCCCAAAAGAUAGAUCCAAGAAAAAGACAAAAGACAAGACUAACUACAAGGAUCUAGUAGAGCUCAUGACUGGAUGGAUCGGAAUCAGAUGUAUCAGAGAUAGGGUGGGGAGAUGAUGGAUCAUGACCAAGAACUCAUCCUCUACCCCGUCUGCCUCUGCCACGAGUGGAGGUGCUGGCACGAGUAGGUGGGCGAGAUGAUCCUGAAGGCUGAGAAGCAAUAGACUAAACUGCAAGAGAGAGCCUGAUGGUGUCUAGAAGGUUCAGAGCUCUCGAAACAGACUGAAGCAGUGCAGUGAACUGGGUGGAUGCAUGCUCACUAGAGCCUCUGAUCUCUCUCCUCAGAAAAUCAAAUCCACUCUCCAAUACUCCUCUAAGUCUGGCUGCCUCCAUUGAUAGGUCUGAGACCUCAGUAGUGCACUCCUGUGGCUGUGGAUGGGCCAGAGCUAACACUUGCCCCUGCAAGUCAAGUACCCUCCCAGUCAGUCUCAAAAUGUAACCCUCGAGCUGUUGAAUCUGAACUGACUGAUCUGAGAUCAUCUGAAAUACAGUGGAGAUGUGGGGGAUCAAAGUCUGAUC